rnacentral:rRNA from 1 species
GACGUAGGGCGCGAGCGUUGUCCGGAUUUAUUGGGCGUAAAGAGCUCGUAGGCGGCUUGUCGCGUCGUCCGUGAAAACCCACAGCUCAACUGUGGGCUUGCGGUCGAUACGGGCAGGCUAGAGUUCGGUAGGGGAGACUGGAAUUCCUGGUGUAGCGGUGAAAUGCGCAGAUAUCAGGAGGAACACCGGUGGCGAAGGCGGGUCUCUGGGCAGUAACUGACGCUGAGGAGCGAAAGCGUGGGGAGCGAACAGG